CGCCACACAAGCUUCAUGGAGUUGCAGAUCAUGUACUCAACCUUUGCUUUGUUUAUGACAUUUCAACUUCAUAUACACGCUCCUGAUUUUAGCCUGUUGGAUUGCUAGCACCUCAUAUCUGCCAAAAUACUUUCCAAAUACCAAAUACUCAAACAAAAUUUUGGCAUAAAAAGUACUUACUUUGCUGCAAGCUCCCUCACAAGCUCCCUCACAAGCUAGAAAUAUAUGCUCCAAAACUGAUGUUCCUUUAAAAUUUGUGGGCAUAAUUUUAGUCUCAACUAUGAUAGUUCAUGUAACACCGUCUCAGCUUUCUUCACCAUCUCUCUCACUUUCUUAUUUCCCGGAUCCCA